rnacentral:rRNA from 1 species
CGUACACUCCUACGGGAGGCAGCAGUGGGGAAUUUUACGCAAUGGGGGAAACCCUGACGUAGCGACACCGCGUGAGCGAAGAAGCCCUUUGGGGUGUAAAGCUCUGUCAGCUGGAACGAAAACAAUGACGGUACCAGCAGAGGAAGCAUCGGCUAACUACGUGCCAGCAGCCGCGGUAAGACGUAGGAUGCGAGCGUUGUCCGGAUUUAUUGGGCGUAAAGAGUUCGUAGGUGGUUUGUUAAGUUUGGUGUUAAAGAUCGGGGCUCAACCCUGGGACUGCACUGAAUACUGGCAGACUCGAGUGUGGUAGAGGCUAGUGGAAUUCCCAGUGUAGCGGUGAAAUGCGUAGAUAUUGGGAAGAACCCCGGUGGCGUAGGCGACUAGCUGGGCCAUAACUGACGCUGAGGAACGAAAGCCAGGGGAGCGAAUGGGAUUAGAAACCCGUGUAGUCCCAUG